rnacentral:misc_RNA from 1 species
UGUGGGAGGGGGCUUGCCCCCGAUAGCGGUGGUUCAGUCAACUAUGUAUUGGCUGACACUGCUAUCGGGGGCAAGCCCCCUCCCACA